AUGGCCCGUCCCUCCCCCUCUGACGUGCGCGCUGUUUUCUCAUCGCAGGCGGACGUUGAUGUUGACCCCGAGGUGGCGGCCGCCGGUCCCAAGAAGAGGACAUUCCGCAAGUUCAGCUACCGUUGCGUGGACCUUGACGCUCUCCUCGACAUGUCCAGCGAGGACCUGGUCGGCCUCUUCCCUGUCCGCGCCCGCAGAAGGUUCUCGAGGAGUCUGAAGAGGAAGCCGAUGGCCCUUGUCAAGAAGCUGCGCAAGGCGGUGAGUGAUGGUUCGCUUAAUACACUUGUAGUUGAACGCCCAAAUAGUGAACUACCUAUUUCUGUAUAG
rnacentral:rRNA from 1 species